AUGGCCGAAUGCUUCAAUAAGGUGCUCAAAGGUGCAUGUGGAUUACCCGUGACAACAAUAGUUCAAUACACAUUUGCCAAGAUGAAUGCGUACUUUCUAAAGUACUCGAUGGAAACGGAUGCACAGAUAGAGGGUGAGAACAAGCACAAGUACAAGUUUCCACCCAAGGUUGAUGAAUGGUUGGAAUUUCAAUCGUGGAAGACGGACUCAGAAGAAGCUAUACUAUAUGACAAUGAAGAGUGGAAGUACGAAGUGAAAGAGCCAGGAGGAACCACAAAUGAUGGCCGCCAACAUGGAGGUCGGGCUUUCAAGGUCUCCUUAACACGGUGUGAUUGCUCUUGCGGGAGGGCAUUGUUGCUUCAUCUCCCAUGCUCACACUUGUAUACCGCCGGUCAUGUUAGGAAUGUGGAUGUCAACCACCCCCUCACUGUGAGGGAGUCGGAGUUCUCAAUCCUGACUAUUAAGAAAACAUGGGCUCCCCGCUUUCACCCAUACUUUGACCAAUCACAAUGGCCGGAGUACCAUGGAGUUCAACUAUGGCCGGAUCCGGAGUUGAAGGUUGUUAAACGGGGUAGACGUAAGACAAAGCGUCUUAGAGGCGACAUGGAUGGAUGGGGUCAUGGUGACCGCCGGGAAGCGGGCAACGACCAAUUCCAAGAGCCUCGUGAGAGCUCCCGUUGUGGGGAAUGCAAAGGUCAUGGCUCCAACAAUCAACAAGCGCGGUGA
rnacentral:rRNA from 1 species